CUGGCAACCAAGCAGACAUUUUCGAAAACUAUGAAGGGCUGAAUGUGAAGAGGAUACGUGGUGCUUCAAAAGCCGGAUUGGAACUGUCUAUUUGAUGAACUAUCACAAGAUCAAGCAUGCCGUCUAAAACAAGUUCAGCCAACAGUGCAGGGAGCAAAGGCAAUGCCUCAGAUCACUCUGAGGACAUCAUCCCCAUGGUCCUGACAUCUGCCACUCAGGAGUUGUUUGGUUGCCGUGCUGAUGAGGACGUCACAGCGGAGAACCCUUACAAGCUGCUGAAAAAAGAUGACAUCUUAGAGGACAUGAAGACAAAAGCUGCAGUGUCUGAUUUCAGCCCUGUGAAGCAGAUCAUUCUGGAUUAUCCAGAGAGUGAGCUUUUGUUGGUUUUUGACCGAGACUUUACCUACGGCCAAUGCUUCUACCUGGUUGUGACACCAGAAGCAAAGGAAAGAAUCCUCAAUCCCCCAGAACCUGAGCCUGAAGAGGAUUUCAAUGAACUAAUAAUUAAAACCCCAGAACCAAAGGAAUGGAUAUCACUUGGCAGUGAGCGGGAAAUAGAUGAAGAAUCUGUCAGAGAGACAAGAGCAAAGCUUUUGUACAAGUUCUCCAGAGCUCGAAAGGAGUUUGGAAAGCCAGUCUCUUUUUCAGACCGCAAUGUAGCAGAUGCCAAGGAUGGCAACUUGGAGUGCGCGUCCUAUCAGGACAGGAGAUUCAACCUCAAGCUGAUGCAGAGGGACUGCGCGGUGCAGGCUAUCCCCAUUCUUCGGAGUAACAGUGCCCAGACACAGUGGAAGUAUAUGAGGAAUAAUUGUACACAGUACGCACCAGUAGAACUGGACCAAAACGACAAGGACAAGACCCUAGAACCACAAAACAUAAGUGAUUUCUGCAAUACAGUGACCGGAAGGGUCCUUCAUGCUCUUCAGCAAGAGGAAAUUAUGAAUGUGUUCAAAGAUGACUGGAUGGAUUUGGGGACAGAAACCGAGGACAUAGAAUGGUCUGGGAAGGUGUCUGAUAUUUUGAUGCUUUACCAAGCCUUCACAGACCAGAAGUAUAGCCAAGACAAGGAGAUCUGCUGCAUGCACUGGCAUCCCACCAUCCAUGGUGUGAUAGCUGUAUCAUUGACGGAGAAUACGCAGCAGUUGACCAGGUCCACUGGACCUCUCAUAGCGUUUUACAGCUUCUCUGACCCUACUCAUGCCAAGAUACUGCUGGAGUGCCCAGAUGACAUACUUGCCUUUGAGUUCUGCCCCUCUGAUCCAAAUAUUAUUGUUGGAGGAUGCCUGAACGGCCAGGUUGUGUUGUGGGAAAUAUCUGCUUACGUUCCACGUUUGCUUCCAGUCCCACCUGGCGCGAAAACUGAAUCUGUCAAAACAGGCAUGCUGGACUUUGAAGACAAAAAAGGGAGUAACGCUCCUAUUGUGCGCUACAGUGCAAUGUCUGGAGUGGAGAACAGCCACACCGGACCAAUUACAGAUGUCCACUGGCUGCCUCCAACGUUUGAGGUGAAUGCCCAAGGCAUGCCAGUGGAGAACAAAUACAAUAUUUCUGUUCAGCUCAUCACCUGCUCUCCUGAUGGAUCGUUAUUGUUCUGGGAUAUCCGAGUACCAAAACAGCUCCAGCGCCAGAUGGCAUCAGACAAGAAGCAGAAUGAUUCUGAGCCUCAGAUGGCAGAUUACAGUGACAACAACCCUUUCAAACAUUUGGAGCGGUCAUGGAAACCGUUGUUCAAGGUUGCCACUGUAAACAUGGAUCGCAGCAGGGAAUAUGCCCCUUUAAAAUUCAGCCUUGACCCCUAUAGCCGUAAUAACACUUCAGUCUCAGAAACUACUGAAGACCGCGAACCAAUGCCGGACUACAGUCAACUACAAGUGCCUUCAGGCAAAGGACUCACACCUCUGGAAGACGUAAAUACCAAGAUUUAUAUCGGAACAGAGGAUGGGGAGAUCGUUUACACUGACUGGAAACUGGAGAAAAAUGACCUUGAUCAACUACUUAAUCCCAAGCCCCUUCAUUGUUUUAGAAUACAUCCCUGCCUGGUGAAUACAAUUGACCGAUCACCCUUUUUUAAAGACAUCGUUUUGACCGGAACUUCACUUUACGGAAGCUGCAAUCUUGCCAUUUGGAAGGAAGAAGUGUUGGAUGGACCUCUUUUUUUGUUACCAACCUUGGACGGGCUGUGUACAGUGGCUUGCUGGUCUUUAACCCGGCCGGCAUUUUUCUUUGUUGGGAAAGGUGAUGGAAAAAUUGAGGUAUGGAACUUGCUGGAAAAAACAGGAGAAGCCAUGCAUGUGCAAGAGCACAUGAGCAAUGGGAAGAUAACCUGCAUCGAACCAAAGAUCUUCUCCUCCAAGCAGCACUUCCUGGCUGUGGGCGAUGAUGUUGGAGUAGUCCGUGUAUUUCAAAUUCCACCGGUCUUCUACACUGCUUCUAGGAACGAGAGGUUGCACAUGAGCAAAUGCCUUGAGCAGCAGGAAGCAAGGCUGAAUGAUCUUAUGAUCAGGAGAGAAUUGUGGCAAAAUCAACCAGGACUUGAAGAAGACAAGAAAGUGGAGUCCAAGAAGCCUGACUCAACCACAGAAGAAGCAGAUGAGAUGAAAGAAUAUGAUGAUUUUCUAGUGCUAGAGGAGAACGUUCUGAAAGGCAUGGGACUUACAACGUAACCUGGUCGGCAACAUGGCUUCUCAGUACAGUCAAUUAUUCAUGGAUCAACACAUGCUAGCGAUAAGCAUAUUUUUCAUGAAGAAAAUAUGAGACCCUGGGGUCCUAAACAUCAGCUGAGACGCCCAACAGGAUGUAAAAGUAAAUAAACAUGACUGCAUGUGUCUUGAUUAAGGUCCUCUAUCCUCAGCGGAGCCUCUCACUUUCUCCCUGGCCAGCUCUGGAAUGUGCCUUCUGCAAUCCAACACACACAGACACACACGUGUCUUCCCCAUGGCUGGUUAGUUAUUAUAAUGACUGACGCAAAGAAUGUGCAGCAGUGCUGUAACCACAAACGCAGAAAAGGUAAGUAAACACUUGGAGUUCAUUCUUUGGAUCAACUAAUUACUGUUCAAUUUCUCUAGUAAAAUACUGACUCAUCAUCAGUAUGAGUCUGGAGCCUGUUCUCCAGAGAGAAUGUGAUCGUUAUGUUAUUUGAUGUGCAUGUCAGACUGACACAGAAUGUUGUCUAACAUGCAUUUUGCUGCCAAGUCUUGUUUUGCAGUGGUUAGCGCAGAAAACUAAUUUAGUCCAAAAAUGAUGAAACAGACUGCUGUCAUCAUUUGCAUUGGAUUUUCUUUCUUUGUCUCCAAAUUAUCCUCAUUUGCCUGGAAAGCUAUUUCAGCAGUCCCAGUAAAGGCUUCAUUCUAUGCUACAGCAUCACUGGUGCAGGCAUAAGAUGCCAACUGGCUCCACCCCUUCCAAACCCUUCACCAGAGUUUGAUGUGCACGUCCAAAAAAAUUCUAACCUCACGUCAACGUCAAAGUUGAAGUAAUGGAAAAAAUA